rnacentral:rRNA from 1 species
GUGAGUAACACGUGUAGUGACCUGCACCCUGACUCUGGGAUAAGCCUGGGAAACUGGGUCUAAUACCGGAUAUGCACCGUGGACCGCAUGGUUUUUGGUGGAAAGAUUUUUUGGUCAGGGAUGGACUCGCGGCCUAUCAGCUUGUUGGUGAGGUAAUGGCUCACCAAGGCGACGACGGGUAGCCGGCCUGAGAGGGUGACCGGCCACACUGGGACUGAGACACGGCCCAGACUCCUACGGGAGGCAGCAGUGGGGAAUAUUGCACAAUGGGCGAAAGCCUGAUGCAGCGACGCCGCGUGAGGGAUGACGGCCUUCGGGUUGUAAACCUCUUUCAGUAGGGAAGAAGCGAAAGUGACGGUACCUGCAGAAGAAGCGCCGGCUAACUACGUGCCAGCAGCCGCGGUAAUACGUAGGGCGCAAGCGUUAUCCGGAAUUAUUGGGCGUAAAGAGCUCGUAGGCGGUUUGUCGCGUCUAUCGUGAAAGUCCGAGGCUCAACCUCGGAUCUGCGGUGGGUACGGGCAGACUAGAGUGAUGUAGGGGGAGACUGGAAUUCCUGGGGUAGCGGUGAAAUGCGCAGAUAUCAGGAGGGAACACCGAUGGCGAAGGUAGGUCUCUGGGCAUUAACUGACGCUGAGGAGC